rnacentral:rRNA from 1 species
UACGUAGGGGGCAAGCGUUGUCCGGAAUCAUUGGGCGUAAAGCGCGUGUAGGCGGCUCGGUAAGUCCGCUCUGAAAGUCCAGGGCUCAACCUGGGAUGCGGGUGGAUACUGCCGGGCUCGAGUCCGGAAGAGGCGAGUGGAAUUCCCGGUGUAGGCGGUGAAAUGCGCAGAUAUCGGGAGGAACACCAAUGGCGAAGGCAGCUCACUGGCUCGGUACUGACGCUGAGGUGCGAAAGCGUGGG